rnacentral:lncRNA from 1 species
GUGCCUAUAGGACAUUAACUCCAGUAGCCUGUGUGGCCAAGUAGAAUAAAAAUAAAGUUCCUGGGAAUUCAGGAUUGAUAAUAUCUCUGAUUUGUAUAUUUCUGCAGCAGUCAGUCUCUUUCAAAAUAUGGGAACAGCAAGUUAAAAUAAACUGUCUUAUUGGCAGAACAGAGUGUGAUCAUGAGAUACCAUUCAGCUUUUAUGCUGAUUCAUCAGCUCACAGUGAAACGAGCUUGCAUGAGAGCAUCCCAGGACCACUGAACAUUCAGAGGGCUGGAGGCAGAGAAAAACUUCCCCUACUCAAGAAAAAGAAGCUAUUUUUGUCAAGUUAAAUGAGCCUGAACCUGCAGAGCUGAAUUGGCAGAUGAAUAUUGCUAAUUGGUGCAGUUUCUUCGGUGCAGGAAAGAGUUUCCAAUCAGACCGGCAAUUCAUCGGCCACAUGAAGGUAAUUUAUUAAUAAAAAUGAACUGAAGUUUCAGAAUCCUUGAUAAUGAUGAGCUUAUGGUCCUUCACCUCCCUUCCCUUCCCUAGAAAGAACACCCUACAACAAUGAUGCCUCAGUGAUAUCUUCUCCAGCCCAUUCCAUAUGUGGCAACAUUUCAAGUGGUUUUUUUUUCAUUAGGAAUUUCUACAUUUAGUUGUCAAAUCAAGCUGCUCUAAAUGCCUAAUUGUGAUUCUCCCUUCAUCAACAGACUUUUUGAGGAGUUCCUGAUUCAAAGUAACCAGGAAAGUCUGCUAACUGCAGCUUAAUUCUGAAAAGUGAAGGGGAAAACAAAACAGGAGAAACAGUCUCCC